CCUACGGGAGGCAGCAGUGGGGAAUAUUGGACAAUGGGCGCAAGCCUGAUCCAGCAAUGCCGCGUGAGUGAGGAAGGCCUUAGGGUUGUAAAGCUCUUUCACCCGCGACGAUGAUGACGGUAGCGGGAGAAGAAGCCCCGGCUAACUUCGUGCCAGCAGCCGCGGUAAUACGAAGGGGGCGAGCGUUGUUCGGAUUUACUGGGCGUAAAGGGCGCGCAGGCGGCUCAUUUUGUCAGGCGUGAAAGCCCCGGGCUUAACCUGGGAACUGCGUUUGAUACGGAUGGGCUAGAGUUCGGGAGAGGAGAGUGGAAUUCCCAGUGUAGAGGUGAAAUUCGUAGAUAUUGGGAAGAACACCGGUGGCGAAGGCGGCUCUCUGGACCGAGACUGACGCUGAGGCGCGAAAGCGUGGGGAGCAAACAGGAUUAGAUACCCCAGUAGUC
rnacentral:rRNA from 1 species